CAGAAGUCACCUGCUCCUGCCAGUGCUGCCCAUGCAAGUGUCAUUACGUGAUGAUAAGCAGCGCAAAACUGCCACAUAGAUUCUCAGCUGUGCAAUACAUACAACAAUGGUAAUGACUGAGUAACCAGCAGUGCAGGAAUGACUCCUCACCUCGUAACAUGCCUUUAAGCACCAAGGAGAUCCAGACAAGUGCAGCUGAAUCCAACACCAUAACGAAGCCAUCAGCAUG